CAGUCGCCACGGUAAUACGAAGGGUGCAAGCGUUAAUCGGAAUUACUGGGCGUAAAGCGUGCGUAGGCGGUGAGUUAAGUCUGCUGUGAAAUCCCCGGGCUCAACCUGGGAAUGGCAGUGGAUACUGGCAAGCUAGAGUGUGUCAGAGGAUGGUGGAAUUCCCGGUGUAGCGGUGAAUGCGUAGAGAUCGGGAGGAACAUCAGUGGCGAAGGCGGCCAUCUGGGACAACACUGACGCUGAGGCACGAAAGCGUGGGGAGCAAACAGGAUUAGAUACCCGUGUAGUCCCUGUCUCUUAUACA
rnacentral:rRNA from 1 species